rnacentral:rRNA from 1 species
AGACCUUUAGUUUGAACCCCGAAACCCGGUGAGCUACCCCGAGACAGCCUAUAUUGAUUUAGGGCUAACCCGUCUCUGUGGCAAAAGAGUGGGAAGAGCUCCGGGUAGAAGUGACAGACCUACCGAACCUGGUGAUAGCUGGUUGCCUGAGAAGUGGAUAGAAGUUCAGCCUCGCACACCCCAAGCCAGAGAAUACACCGCUCAGGCACUCAGGGAAAUGUGGGAGAGUUAGUUAAAGGGGGUACAGCCCCUUUAACAAAGGAUACAACCUUUGCAGGAGGAUAAAGAUCAUAAUAUAUAUAAAAUGCUGCUCUAGUGGGCCUAAAGGCAGCCACCUAAACAGAAAGCGUUAAAGCUCAGGCAGAAAGAAGUUUAUUAUACCGAUAAAAAAUCUUACUCCCCUAAUUAUAUCAGGCCAACCCAUGCCAACAUGGAAGAGAUUAUGCUAAAAUGAGUAACAAGAAGACCUGCUCUUCUCCCAGCACAAGUGUAAGCCAGAUCGGACUAGCCGCUGGAACUUAACGAACCCAACCCAAGAGGGUAGUGUGAAUAGUACAGACCCCAAGAAGAACUCACAACUAAGCAAUCGUUAACCCCACACUGGAGUGCUAUUAUAAAGGAAAGACUAAAAGAGGGGGAAGGAACUCGGCAAACACAAGCCUCGCCUGUUUACCAAAAACAUCGCCUCCUGCAACUAUAUUGAGUAUAGGAGGUCCAGCCUGCCCAGUGACUACGGGUUCAACGGCCGCGGUAUUUUGACCGUGCAAAGGUAGCGCAAUCACUUGUCUCUUAAAUAGAGACCUGUAUGAAUGGCUAGACGAGGGCUUAACUGUCUCCCCCCUCCAGUCAGUGAAAUUGAUCUAUCCGUGCAGAAGCGGGUAUAAUUAUACAAGACGAGAAGACCCUUUGGAGCUUAAGGUACAAAAUCCAACCACGUUAAACGACCCCCUAAAGGGCAAGAACUUAGUGGCCAAUGAAGUUUUACCUUCGGUUGGGGCGACCACGGAGGAGAAAAAAGCCUCCGAGUGGACUGGGUUAAAACCCAAAGCUAAGAGAUACAUCUCUAAGCCGCAGAACAUCUGACCAAAAGUGAUCCGGCUAAAAAGCCGAUCAACGAACCAAGUUACCCUAGGGAUAACAGCGCAAUCCUCUCCCAGAGUCCAUAUCGACGAGGGGGUUUACGACCUCGAUGUUGGAUCAGGACAUCCUAAUGGUGCAGCCGCUAUUAAGGGU